rnacentral:rRNA from 1 species
AAGGCUUAAACUGCAAGUCGAACGAGAGACCUUCGGGUCUCUAGUGGCGAACGGGUGAGUAACACGUAGGGAACCUGCCCGCGCACCGGGAAUACGCUCUGGAAACGGAGAACAAAUCCCGAUGUACAGGAAGGAGGCAUCUUCUUUCUGUGAAACAUCCUUUCGGGGAUGGGGCGCGGAUGGACCUGCGGUGCAUUAGUUGGUUGGCGGGGUAAAGGCCCACCAAGACGAUGAUGCAUAGCCGGCCUGAGAGGGCGGACGGCCACAUUGGGACUGAGACACGGCCCAGACUCCUGCGGGAGGCAGCAGUAGGGAAUUUUCGUCAAUGGGCGCAAGCCUGAACGAGCGAUGCCGCGUGAGUGAAGAAGGCCUUCGGGUCGUAAAGCUCUGUUGCGGGGGAAAAAAGGCAGCAUCAGGAAAUGGGUGCUGACUGAUGGUGCCCCGCCAGAAAGUCACGGCUAACUACGUGCCAGCAGCCGCGGUAAUACGUAGGUGGCGAGCGUUAUCCGGAAUGAUUGGGCGUAAAGGGUGCGCAGGCGGUCCUGCAAGUCUGGAGUGAAACGCAUGAGCUCAACUCAUGCAUGGCUUUGGAAACUGGAGGACUGGAGAGCAGGAGAGGGCGGUGGAACUCCAUGUGUAGCGGUAAAAUGCGUAGAUAUAUGGAAGAACACCAGUGGCGAAGGCGGCCGCCUGGCCUGUUGCUGACGCUGAGGCACGAAAGCGUGGGGAGCAAAUAGGAUUAGAUACCCU